ACGGCGAGUGAAGCGGCAACAGCUCAAAUUUGAAAUCUGGCCCUUUCAGGGUCCGAGUUGUAAUUUGUAGAAGAUGUUUCGGGUGCGGUGCCGGUCUAAGUCCCUUGGAACAGGGCGUCAUAGAGGGUGAGAAUCCCGUAUGUGACCGGCGACCAACCCCAUGUGAAACUCCUUCGACGAGUCGAGUUGUUUGGGAAUGCAGCUCAAAAUGGGUGGUAAAUUUCAUCUAAAGCUAAAUAUCGGCCAGAGACCGAUAGCGCACAAGUAGAGUGAUCGAAAGAUGAAAAGCACUUUGGAAAGAGAGUUAAAAAGUACGUGAAAUUGUUGAAAGGGAAGCGCUCGCAACCAGACCUGCCCUCGGACGAUCAGCGGUGGUUUUCUACCGUGCACUCGUUCGUGAUCAGGCCAGCAUCGGUUUUGGCGGCCGGAUAAAGAUCCUUGGAAUGUAGCUCCUUCCGGGGAGUGUUAUAGCCUUGGGUGCAAUACGGCCAGCCGGGACCGAGGACCGCGCUUCGGCUAGGAUGCUGGCGUAAUGGUUGUGAGCGACCCGUCUUGAAACACGGACCAAGGAGUCUAACAUCUAUGCGAGUGUUUGGGUGUCAAACCCAUGCGCGGAAUGAAAGUGAACGGAGGUGGGAACCCUUAAGGGCGCACCAUCGACCGAUCCAGAAGUUUACGGAUGGAUUUGAGUAUGAGCAUAGCUGUUGGGACCCGAAAGAUGGUGAACUAUGCCUGAAUAGGGUGAAGCCAGAGGAAACUCUGGUGGAGGCUCGCAGCGGUUCUGACGUGCAAAUCGAUCGUCGAAUUUGGGUAUAGGGGCGAAA
rnacentral:rRNA from 1 species